rnacentral:rRNA from 1 species
GACGAACGCUGGCGGCGUGCUUAACACAUGCAAGUCGAACGGACAGGCCCUGCUUUUGCGGGGUGCUCGAGUGGCGAACGGGUGAGUAACACGUGAGUAACCUGCCCUUGACUUUGGGAUAACUUCAGGAAACUGGGGCUCAUACCGGAUAGGAGCUCCUGAUGCAUGGUGGUGGUUGGAAAGUUUCGGCGGUUGGGGAUGGAAUCGCGGCUUAUCAGCUUGUUGGUGAGGUAGGGGCUUACCAAGGCUUUGACGGGUAGCCGGCCUGAGAGGUUGGACGGCGACAAGGGUACUGAGAUACGGAGCAGACGCCUACGGGAGGCAGCAGGCGAGAACAUGGCACAGUGAGCGGAAGCCUGAGGCAGCGACGCCGCGUGCGGGAUGACGUCCUACGGGUUGUAAACCGCUGUCGCCGGUGACGAAGCGUGAGUGACGGUAAUGGGUAAAGAAGAACCGGCUAACUACGUG